rnacentral:rRNA from 1 species
CCGGGCGGAUAUAGAGUGGCGAACGGGUGAGUAACACGUGACCAACCUGCCCCGCACCCCGGGAUAACUGCUGGAAACGGCAGCUAAUACCGGAUACUCCGCCCCCUCCGCAUGAGGGGGCGGGAAAGCCCCGACGGUGCGGGAUGGGGUCGCGGCCCAUUAGGUAGUAGGCGGGGUAACGGCCCACCUAGCCCGCGAUGGGUAGCCGGACUGAGAGGUCGACCGGCCACAUUGGGACUGAGAUACGGCCCAGACUCCUACGGGAGGCAGCAGUGGGGAAUUUUGCGCAAUGGGCGAAAGCCUGACGCAGCAACGCCGCGUGCGGGACGAAGGCCUUCGGGUUGUAAACCGCUUUCAGCAGGGAAGAGAACGACGGUACCUGCAGAAGAAGCUCCGGCUAACUACGUG